rnacentral:rRNA from 1 species
UACGUAGGGGGCUAGCGUUGUCCGGAAUCAUUGGGCGUAAAGGGCGCGUAGGCGGUUCGUACAGUCAGACGUGAAAUUCCUGGGCUCAACCUGGGGGCUGCGUUUGAUACGUGCGGACUUGAGUGCGGAAGAGGGUCGUGGAAUUCCCAGUGUAGAGGUGAAAUUCGUAGAUAUUGGGAAGAACACCGGUGGCGAAGGCGGCGACCUGGUCCGAUACUGACGCUGAGGCGCGAAAGCGUGGGGAGCAAACAGG